UACGGGGGGGGCAAGCGUUGUUCGGAGUUACUGGGCGUAAAGGGCUCGUAGGUGGCCAACUAAGUCAGACGUGAAAUCCCUCGGCUUAACCGGGGAACUGCGUCUGAUACUGGAUGGCUUGAGUUUGGGAGAGGGACGCGGAAUUCCAGGUGUAGCGGUGAAAUGCGUAGAUAUCUGGAGGAACACCGGUGGCGAAGGCGGCGUCCUGGACCAACACUGACACUGAGGAGCGAAAGCCAGGGGAGCAAACGGG
rnacentral:rRNA from 1 species